GCAAAACAGCAAUUGAGGAGUAGAAGGAGUGAAGAGUGAAGAGUGGGGAUGGGAUUGGGUGGGAAAAUGGAGUGGGCAGGGCGGGCGAAACACUUGGGAGGAAUACCAAGAAAGGUAGUGUUGAUGGGAGUAGGAGGUUUCGCAAAGAUAGUGGCCACUAUUUUCAACACUACCUCCGUUCACAAUGCUCAUACUCUCAUUCGUCUUGUUCGCUCCAGACCUCCUGCUCUUCCUCUCCUCACUGUUAGCAAUCACAUGUCAACUUUGGACGAUCCUCUUAUGUGGGGUUUCAAGGGCUUCCCCACCUGCCACCCUAAUUUGGCUCGAUGGGUUCUUGCUGCUGACGACAUUUGCUUUAAGAAUCCCUUUUAUUCCUACUUCUUCCGACUUGGAAAAUGCAUACCUAUAAUUAGGGGUGGUGGAAUUUAUCAAGAACACAUGAAUGAAGCUCUUGAGCGCUUAGCUGAUGGAGAAUGGCUGCAUACAUUUCCUGAGGGAAAAGUGUCCCAAGAAGAUGCACCAAUAAGACGAUUAAAAUGGGGAACUGCUAGUCUCAUUGCUCGUGCCCCUGUAACCCCAAUAGUUUUGCCAAUUUUCCAUCAUGGCUUUGAAGAGAGAAAUAGACCAAAGAUGGGUUCAUAAACAUCAUUUUGGACAGUUGGAGUUGAAAUUAAAAGAAGUCCCUAUUUUCUGCUCCAAGCGGCUUUCAGGUGAGGUAGGCAAGUUAGAAUAAGAAGCAGAAAACUCUCUCUCAUUGCCACGCGGCCAUUGCUUCCAUCAGUGCUUAUUUAGUGCCAAGAGAUUCUUGUGGACAUAACAUUGAAUUUUGAGAUAAAAGAAGAAGUUCAAAGAAUUUCCUGAAAUGUUUGUUGGACUGUUUAACAGCAGCUGUUUAAGUCAUUGCCAUUUUUGGUCUUUGUGGGAUUGGCCUAAAGACAAGGAAUGGUAAUGAUGAAGCAAAAUACAUUCUGGAAAUAGAGAUCCCAAAGAACUACUGAUGAAAGAUACAAGUAUUGAAGUUGAUUUGGGAGAGGGUGGGAGAUAUUAAAACAAAAUUGGAAGACAAAGCCUGUGGCUUGCACCUGGACUGUCAACUACAAUGUUGUUCAAUCCUUGGGUAGCUCAAGCAAAUAAUGAUGUGCCUUUUGCACUGGACUUUGGGAGUUCUGGGAUGAUUAUUAGGAAAUGAUUAUGAGUGCCAUUCUAUGGAAUAAUCAUUGUUGUUUUAAUAACUUUGAAGAAUGUUGCUUGUGAUAAGCAACUUCUUUUAUUUAUUUGCAGUUUCUCAGUUUAUAUUGAGCAGCUCAAAUGAUGUCCCAAGAAAGUAAAACAGGUGAAGUAGAAGUACAUGUUUUAUAUAUCAGGUGGCGGGAGGUCUGACGAGAGAGAGAGAGAGAGAGAGAGAGAGAGAGAGAAUUUAUGUAUUCCCGACUGAACAGUGAGUAGCAUCCAUGAUUAUUAAGUACAUAACUUGUUAAGAUGUGGCUUGAGGACUUAGGUUCGAUCUUAUUAUAGAGUAUUAGCUCAUUUAGUUUCUGACAGUUUCCCGUGGAAGAGCAUUUGGAAACCGCUUGUCCCCAAUAAGGUGGCGUUUUUCCUUUGGGGAAUAUCCUUACAGUGGAGAACCUGAGGAAGCGAAACAUUAUUUUGGUGAGCUGCUGUUGUAUGUGCAAGAGGGACAAGGAGAUAGUAGACCACUUAUUGUUGCAUUGCCCUAAUGCUAUAGAUUUAUGGGAUUUGGCUUUUGCUCUUUUUGGGGUGGAGUGGGUGAUGCCUAGAAAGGUUGAUCUUCUAGCAUGUUGGCAAGGUCAUUUUGGCAUCAUUGGAGCUGUGAAAUAUGGAAACCCAUCCCUCAAUGUUUAAUGUGGUGCAUUUGGAGGGAAAGAAAUGCAAGGAGCUUUGAAGGAUUUGAGCAGAAAACUUUAGAAUUAAAAAUCAAAUUUUUUGAAGACCUUGCUUGAGUGGAUGGUAGCUUCAGGGAAGUUUUCUUUUUCAAAUUUAUUUGAUUUUAUCAUUCAUUUUAAUUUUAGAACUCUUGUGACCUUCAGCUAGUAUACUUCAUGUGUACUUGUUGAUUUUAUUUUUUUGAAUCAGUAUUAUUACUUAUUAAAAAAGAAUAAGAUGUGGCUCAAGGACUCAUUUCAUUUGCAUAUUCCAAUAUGGCUUCAAAAACCAACCGGAAAUGCAAACUUUCCAACACUAACUGUGAAACACGGUUC